AUUGAACGCUGGCGGCAUGCUUUACACAUGCAAGUCGAACGGUAACAGGCCGCAAGGUGCUGACGAGUGGCGAACGGGUGAGUAAUGCAUCGGAACGUGCCCAGUCGUGGGGGAUAACGCAGCGAAAGCUGUGCUAAUACCGCAUACGAUCUGUGGAUGAAAGCGGGGGACCUUCGGGCCUCGCGCGAUUGGAGCGGCCAAUGUCAGAUUAGGUAGUUGGUGGGGUAAAGGCUCACCAAGCCAACGAUCUGUAGCUGGUCUGAGAGGACGACCAGCCACACUGGGACUGAGACACGGCCCAGACUCCUACGGGAGGGAGCAGUGGGGAAUUUUGGACAAUGGGCGCAAGCCUGAUCCAGCAAUGCCGCGUGCAGGAAGAAGGCCUUCGGGUUGUAAACUGCUUUUGUACGGAACGAAACGGUCCGGGUUAAUACCCUGGGCUAAUGACGGUACCGUAAGAAUAAGCACCGGCUAACUACGUGCCAGCCGCCGCUGUAACAC
rnacentral:rRNA from 1 species